rnacentral:lncRNA from 1 species
GUGUCUAUCUUUUUUUAUCACAUAUCUUUUUUUAUGAAUAUAGAAGGAAAAUGCAUUUUCUUUUCGACGGGACUUGAACUGGGCAUCUAGGGCUCAUUUUGGUGCGUGUGUGUGUAUCUAGGGCAUCUAGGGGUCAUUUAUGAAUGGCGAGGCCGCCUAAUUAAUGUUCACCAUUAAAAUUUAGAAUAGGUUUGUGAUUUUUUUUAACACUGUACAAACGCAUACGCUCAUACUUACGCACAUACACUCAUCCGUCUGAACACACACAUACACACCCUAUCCCUUAUGAGCACCUUCUGGACUGAGCCGACACGUCAUCUUGAGAUAAAAAAUGUCACCACAUGUGUCUCUGUAAUCGACAGGAACGUCUCAUUCUACUGAACGAACAUCGCCAGAAAGCUUCAAAUAAAUCUAGGAAAAUGACAUGAUCAGUGUCAAGUCUAAAACUUGAACCUUAUAGAGUGGUUCUACCACAAAGAACCUAAGCAUCUGAGAUUAGCUGAGUUCGCAUUUUUCGUGUCUCAUUUACUCUAUCUUGGGUGAGUUUCUUUUCUUACAGACCGAAUAAAAAAGCAUUCAUGCAUCGACUCUUUUUUAAUCUAAACAUAAGGCUUGGAUUAGCGUUUAUUUGACAUGUCUUUUUGGUUUCAUUGUUCUCAAGGCAACAUGCAUGUGGGUGAAAAUCAUUCCGCCGUAGUAUUUUUUUUCUAAACGUGAUACUUUCAAGAGCAUUUAUUUGUACGUCACUUUAAUAUUUUUUUAAGGGAACACGUACCUACCUUUUUUAUUUCCGUUGUAUUUGGGACAUGGACACUUUUCCUAGCAUGAGGCCUAAGGGCUUUUCAUUUGUUCCUAUCGUUUUGUAUAGUACAUCUUUUUAUGAAAGGAGAAGGUAAAUUGAUUUUUUAUUGACCGGGAGAAGAACGUGGACAUGCAGGACUCUUUUGAAGGCAUGUGGGCUCGUUUCUACUCUAUCUACGUGUGGUAGAGUCAAUUACACCACAGGUGUCUGAACUUGGCAAGAAAAAUCAGUUUGGUGCUGAAACUUGUGGCAUACAGAUAUGUGGUAACAAAACUUGGCUUCGUAGUGCAGAUACGGUGAAAUUCACGUUUGGAUACGAGAUGGGUGCUGACGAGGCCCGCCAGCGUGGCGCCGGACCCACUGUCAGUGGCUGCACAGUGCGGGCGAGGGCGUGUGGCCCGGGUUUUCGCGAAACCCCCCCGGAAUUUGUUUACUUCUCACAAAAAAGCCCCGGCCGUCGCACAUAAUGCGAGCCCCUCGAUCCCGUAAAUCCUCGCCCGCGAUGCAUCAAAAAAAAAUCCUCGCCCGCGAUCCCCAAUUCAAGAACAGGGCGACGGCUUAGUUCCGCACGACGGCGACGGCGGCACUCCCCUCGGUUCAGCAUGACGGCGGCGGCGCCGGUGUUCCCCUCGGCUGCGCGCGAAGGCGGCGGCGGCGCUCCCCUCGGCUGCGCGCGAAGGCGGCGGCGUCGCUCCCCUCGACUGUGCGCGAAGGCGGAGGCGGCGCUCCCCUCGGCUGCGCACGACGGCGGCGGCGGCGCUCCCCUCGGCUGCGCAUGACGGCGGCGGCGGCAGCUCUGGCAGAAGGGAUCCCUGACUUCUGGUUAUCGCACGCAUUCCUUCUCUCUCACCUCUCUCUCACAUCUCUCGUAGUAUUACUCUCACAUCUCGCGCGCCUUCUGUUCCCCUGUUUCUAGAUGGGAGGGUCCGACAUACCUAGGAUGGUGGAUGGAGGGGCGAAGGUGGAGGAGGAGGACGAACCGUGGGCCAAAAUUACCUCCGUUGUGUACUUCAGAAAGCAUCAGGUAAAUCAUCUUCCCUUUUCUCAGAAAAAAUUGUAGGAUGUUAGGUUCAAUUGGAGUUGAACUCAGGAAGAUGAGCUGGACAAGGGUAAGAUGUGCAGGCACUUUGAGUCAGCAGCUAUGCGGGUAUGCAAAGGAGUGGACACUGGAAGGAGAUUUUUGUCAUGCCAAUAUGAGGUAAAUUGCUUGCUACCAUUAGGCCUCUUUACUUUACAAUCGGCGUUUUGUCAUCGGUUGGUAAUGUUAGUAUGUAUGUAAUAGUCUGCAAUUUUGCCUGAACAGGAGACGUGUGGUUAUGUCAAAUGGAUUGACAAGCCAAGCCAUGGGAGGGGAGGUAAAGAACUGUCAUUGGUGAAGUUGCUAACAACAAAGAGGUGCUAGAGAAGAAGCUAAUGCAGAAAGAUGGUCAGAUAGAAACUGAGGAGAAGCACGGACUUGAGAAGAAGAAGAUUGAAAGGAUGCACAAAGAUCAGUUACAAUCUAGAGAUAGGACGAUUAUGUUUGUUGUGUUCAUGUACUUUGGGUUAGUCGUAAUCAUGUUUGAUGUGGUUGACAAGAAGUAAUGUUGUCAUUGUCCAGUCUAGAAGGUCAUGUAUGUUGCUGAAAAUUUGUAUUUUGCUGAAUAAUCUUUGGUGAAUUACAAAGAAUGUACCUUUUGGUAAAGAUUUUUUUUGUCAAUAUUUUACUGCUUUAGAAUUGAAACAGACUAUGCAUGUUUAGACAGCAACAAUUGAUUGGAUGGAGAACAAAUUGAAACUUCAUUUUUCAGAUAGAUAACAACAACCAUUUGAUCAUACAGUGUCCACUUUAGUAGCUGAGAGCACACAUUAGUGAAGCACACACAUUCAGUAGCUAAGAACAUGCAUGCAUAUUGACGGAAAUGCAAACCACAUACACACAAACUGUAGACUGAUAACUAAACUGCAUACACGCGAACUGAAGAAAUCUGCAAACUGAUGGACGAAGCCGAUGCUUUUCUUAAAUUUAGAGAAAAGCAUGACAGGAAUAAGAGCAGUUUUUGCCAGCAUAAAUUCAAAGAAAAGCAUUACAGGAAUAAGAGCAGUUUUUGCCGGCAUAAAUUCAGAGAAAAGCAUAUGACAGGAAUGGGUAAUUUUUGCCAGCAUAAAAUUCAGAGAAAAAACGACAGGAAUAAGAGCAGUUUUUGCUGGCAUAAAUUCAUAGAAAAGCAUGACAGGAAUGAGGGUAAUAUUUGCGAGCAUAAAUUCAUAGAAAAGCAUGAGAUGGAACAACAUGAAAACUGCAUUUUAUGAGCAUAGCAACCUCGGAUCAGUGCAUACAGGUGCACUUAAAUAGCAGCAUAACACAUGUUCAGAUUCUCACAUUACAGCAUAAACAAAUGGGAAAUUAGUCUUAUGACUUGUCUGAUGAACAAACGUUCAUAUAUGAACUUGCACUUCCAUCUAGUUCAGUUCACUCAUGAACUAAUUCGGUUGGCAUUGGGAUCUACAAGGUUUGGAAAUCAUCAAUCCACUUUUCAUUUGGUGUAUUUUGGGUCACUGGCUCCUCUUCAGCUUGCACAUAGGAACUCUCUGAAUUUGGUCCAAACAUAAGGUUCCAGAACCCAGCACCUGGUCCAGUAUAUGCUUCCUCAGCACCUGGUCCAGUAUAUGCUUCCCCUGCUCCUCUUCCAGCUGCUUGGUUGCUUGUCUGCUGUACAGAUCCUCUACCUCUCCUGCCAGCCGCUCCCCUAGCUCCCCUGCCUCCCCUGCUAGAUGCUCCACUAGCUCCAAAACCUCUUCCUCCCCUACCAGUUGCUUCUCUAGAUCCUCUGCCUCCCCUGCCAGCUGCUGCUCCACCAGCUCCAGUGGAUCUUCUCUUUCUUCCUCUUGAAAUUCCAGCUUGGUUGCUUGACUGUGGUACAUCUUCUGGAAUGUCUUCAGUGACUCCUCUUCUUCUAACCCUACCUCUUGACAUAGCAGUCGUAACCCUAGGAGGGGGUAUGUCAUUUCUUGCUUGUGCAACAAAUGUUGAUUCUGGAAGAGGUCCAUGAUCCAUACUUGGUUGGUACGCUCUCCUCUCCUAAGUGGAGAAAAAUGCACAAGAUUCAGACAUAAAUUCAGAAACAGAGAAAAUUCAGUAACCGAAACAAAUAUCAAGACAAGGUUACCAUUUGCUGCAUGAGGAAACCAUGGACCCUGGGGUUUGACUUGGAUCCAUGUGUGGAUGGACUGUGUGUGGCAGUAUGUUCUAACAAAGCAUAAACAACAUGUUAGUGUAUGUUGGCACAUGUAAAAUAUAUCAGUACAUUGUGUGAUUAUGUUUAAUCUUACAGAAAUGAUUAUAGGAUCAUCAUACUCUUCUUCUUCAUCAUCUGCAACAUUUGCAGGUUGAGGAGCAUCUCUUGUGGUCUCCUCCCACUUCUUGUGUCCUUUCUUGUUGUGGUCUGCACUUCCACAAAGGGAGCAGUGCAUGGUUACACCAUGCUUUGUCAACUUUUUCCCUCCUUCUUUCAUCAACUUCUCCUCUGGAUCUUUCUUUCUAUUCCUCCUUGGUCUCCCCAUUACCUUAGUGUACACUGGUGGAUAUACAGCAAUGCCAUGCAUCUUAGUCCAAUGUUCCUGGUCCCUCACUGGUUUUACAUUAAAAGCAUAAGCCCUUUUGUAUGUCCCUACUGAAUAACAAUCAUGCACUAGGCUUGCAGGGUCAAUUCUCUCAUUUCUAGCACAAGCAAUAGCAUGGUGACAUGGAAUGCCAGACAAGUCCCAUCUCUUGCAGUUACAGGUUUCCAUUUCCAAGUCCACUAUGUAGGAGUGGUUCAUUGACACAACCUUGAAAACCUUCUGACCAGCUCCAAAGACCAUGCAGUUUGCAGCCCAAUCAGUGUACUUGUCCAAUUUUUUCUGAAUUUUUGGGCACAAUCUCAUACUCCAUUUCCUAUCUUCUGCAACUUCCAUCUGCUUGCUGUAUAUCCUUGCUGUGAUCUUGCUGUUUAUGUUUUCAACCAUCGAGUAAAUAGGAAGUUCUCUGGCUGGCAAAAUCCAACUGUCAUUUGAAAUGUUAAGACAUGUUAGUUCAGAAAACCACAACCCACAAAUGCUUAAUUUCAAGUGCAAUACAUGCUUACCUGUUAAAUACUUCAGACAUGUUAUUUAGCAGGAUGUCACACUUUGGAAAAGGAUUAAAAAAAGCUUUAAUCCAUGUUCUUGGUGGCCAUUUCUCAACCCAUUCGUAUGCAGGCACACUGUCUGCCUUCAUCUUCUCCAUUGCUUUGUUGUAUGUUGGAGUGUCUGUAGCCCUUGCAAUGGCCCACAUAUUGUUCUUUAGUUGUUCCCCCUUGUGAAGCUUGUGGAAAUUUUGAUACAUAUGCCUGACACAAAACUUGUGUUCAGCGUCUGGCCACACCUUUGCAGCUGCAGCUAUAAGACCCUGCACACAUAAACAAUGCAAGCACCCAUCACAUCAAAACUACAUUAUACUAUAGCAAGCAAUAAGGUGAAAACCAUAAGAUGACAUACCUUCUGCUUAUCACUCAUGAUUGUGUAUGGAGAGGUGUUGCAUAUAUUGAGAUCAUCCUUUAGGCUAGCCAAAAACCACUCCCAGCUGCUAGUGGACUCCACUUCCACAAUCCCAAAUGCUAUGGGGAAAAUACAAUCAUUGGGGUCAAUAGCCACAGCUGUUAGUAAAUUCCCUUUGUACCUGGUCUUAAUGUGACAUCCAUCUACAAAUAUUAUUGGCCUACACCCCAUCAACCAGCCUCUCUUGCAUGCAUCCAAUGACCAGUACAAAGUUGAAAAAUGUUCCUUUGUCUCCUUGGUCUUUUCAUCAAAAAUCUCCUUUGUGCAAAGGUAGAACUUGCUGCCAGGGUUUGUUUGCCUCAACUCCUCUCCAUAAUCCCAUAACAUCUUAUACUGGUCAUCAUCCUCACCUCUGAUCUGCUUUACUGAUGCUCUUCUAGCCCUUCCCAAUUUGCUCCUACUUGGAAUUAGAUUGUACUCCUGCUGAACCUUCUCCUCGAAUUUCUGCAAUGGCAUCUUUUCAUUGCCCCUGAACUCUUUUGAAGGCAUGUGGGCUCGUUUCUACUCUAUCUACGUGUGGUAUUUUUCUAUUCAAACGUAUGGCAGGGCCGGCCUAGUUGAUCUUGACCUUUAAUAUAUAAAUACCGUGUCCAAAUUAAUUAUGUUGAUGUGGAAGAGUCCAUCUCACGUAAGCCACCCAGCUGGAAAAAGCGCACGAAUCAUUCACCGGCUGUAGACCGGUCAUUAAGCCAAUCUGAUGGAUGUAACUUUCUAACCUUCAGGAUUAACGUGGAGCCUCGUAUGGUGCUUUCAAUUAGUACAUACUAGUCAUCAACCCGUGCACCUGCACGGGCUAGCAAUUUUAAUAUUAGAUAUACCAUAGUUUUGACAGUAUUAAAAAUAUCAAUAAUCAUUUGAAUAUUUUGAUAUACGUUAUUAUUAUUACACAUGCACAUUGGAUCCAAUGAAGUUACAUUGCUUUGACUAUUUUGUGAUUACAUAGUUUAAGCAUAAUUGUGUGACAACGGUAUAUAUAAUAUCGUUGUGUGAUCGCAAAUCACAUGAAAUUUGUAGAAGAUAUGUGGAAAUAUGGAAAUGCUACUUUAUGAGCACAUCAAAACAUAGCAACAAAACAUAGCAAUGCUAUAGGCCUAGACUCAUUCCAGCCUCCUCGAUAAAACUAAGCUGCCAUCCAGAGGCUAUGGAUUCAUGUACAUAGGUAGCAAGAACAUACUGCAGAGCAUCAAAUUAACCAAGUGGCAAGUAAUGAUUUACAAAUCAAGAAUCUUACCCUAAACACAGCUACCACCGCCAUUCAAACAAGAGUGGUGAGGGAAGCAUGAAGAACGGCGGGGAAGCGAGGUGGCGACCACUGUCCUCCUCCUCUUGCGCUUCGGAGUCUCCGGUGACUCGGUUGGAGGCUGCACAAUCUGCAACGGCACCUCGUGCAGGGUGGCUUCCUGAUGCAGUGGAUGCUCUACCCUGGAUCUGAACGCCCACCACCUCCGCCUAACCCACUCAUGGGCGAAUCCUUCUACUCCAUCGCCCAGAGGAGGAUCUCGAUCUUGUGCAUCGGUUCAGUGGGUGGGGGGAGCUUUUUCCUCUCCUUCUUCGUCAUUUCCUUGAGAGUGGACAUCUGCCUUGUGUUGUCAAACCAAGAAUGGAUCUCCCUCAACCUGGCCAUCUUGACGUGGUUGCCGCCGGCGAUCUUCUCGAUCUGCUGCCGCAUCGAGGUUCUUGCUUGGAUGGAAGAGGGGGUGGAUGUGGAAGAGGAGAAGAGAAAAGUUGCGGCGGCGAGGAGGAGGAGAUGGCUGUGGUGGAUUUGGAAUGUACGAGAGGCAGGAGAUGGCUGCGAUUGUGUAAUGGUGAUGGAAGAGGAGAGGACCAUGGCGGCGGUUUUGCAUUGGACGAGAGGGGCGGCGUGUGAAAUUUUUUCUUAUGACUAAAAUGCCCCUAUAUUAAAAUGUGUCCCCAUAUUGUCAUUACUACCGGCCACACAAGUUGUAGUACUUUCGAAUACUUUCAUCCCAGUACUACCGAGUACUACAUAUGUGUGUGCCGUUAGAUUGAGACAAACUAACGGCUCCAAAAAAGCCCAACCACUGUAAAACUUAUAGUUCCAAAUUGUCCAUUUGAUAACUGCUUUCUUGCCAUGGAAGUAAACUAUUCAUGUUUCUCCAUCUUGUUAAGUAUUCGCAAAGAUGUUGAUUACUCUCAGACGGGAGGAGUAGAUUUGAGCUGCAGUCUACAAGUCCAAGUUAUAUUUUUUAGGAUCAAGGUCGAAGUUACGAGGCUCAAAACUAAGAGAUGUUCUGAUAGACAUCAGUUUCAGUGGAAAACAAUUGCUGGGAAGUUUCAAUGGAAAUUGGGGCCGAUGAACUCAAUGGAUGCAGCAGGUACACUUUUUUUAACAGACAUCACAUAUUGGUUCCUUGGAAAAGAGUCUACAUGGGACCGAUUGCUCUCAUCCCUCGAUUGGGUCCGCGUCUUUCUCACCUCUAGGAAGAUUCUCUGGAGAGCGAUCGCGUACCCACCAAACCUAGUAAAACGUGUCGGUCCACCUCGCUUUUUGGGCACAGUUGUGACCGCUGUGACAUGGGCCUUCUCCUUUUAGUCGGUGGCAGAAUCCUCUGCCGACAUAGAGGUGAGAGUGACGAUGGAGCAUUUGGCAAUAUCCUUGGGAAAACAGCAGCAUGCCCACUCGACUAAGUAUGAUGGGUCGCUCCACCUCACCUUCUCGAUGUGGUUAUGGCAGCCACGACAGUGGCCUACUCCUCAAGAUCAGUGUCAAGGCUCAGCGGCGGGGUGGCGGGGGUACAGAGGAGCCUACCUUCUCGGAUUGUUGUGGUGGCUUCCAUGAGGAGGAGACAAGUUCCUCAGACAUCACUGGCCUGUGAAGUCAUGUCCAGUGGGGGAACCUGUUGCCACCAUUUUCGACUAGUCGAUUGUGGAGAAAAAGAGCGCCAGGGAGUGGAGAAGGGACCUUGCAAGGGUUUGAGGGCUAUAUUGUCUCUGCGUCAGACAUACCGAAGGCAGUUUAGGUUAAGAAAAUACCUCACAUAUUGUCUAGGCGUCAGACAUACCGAAGGCAGUUUAGGUUAAGAAAAUACCUCACAUACUUUCAAGUUGAAGGCAGUUUUGAACUGCCUCCAAUAGUGUGUCGUCUCAUUGGAGGUGGUUUUGAUUUCGUAAACCGCCUGAGCAAGAAAGUUAGAGACAGUCGAUGAUUUUAACAUUCCUAACCGCCUCCAUGGAAAGCCUAUAAUGACCAUUUUGUACUAGUAUACGAUUAUUAUAUUUUAUAAAUCUCAAAUUAUAGUCUUGAUUUAAAAAAAUCAAAAAUAUUGUCCCACCAUUCUCGUAACAAUGAAGAGUGAAUCUUUAUCCACGCCGUGACCGAAGAGGCCAUUUUCGUCCAACCAUGGACUGAAGAUGCUCUUUUUGUCCACAUGUGGCCCGAAAAGGUACCCUUCGCUCCCAGCACACAACCGAAGAGGAAGUUUUCAUACUCUUCAUUCUAACUCAGAACGAAAAGAGUGCAACUAUAUUAAUGAAUGGCUACCCAUGUCCCUGCCGCUCUGGAGCUCCCUUUGCUGAACCCUCAUGCCAACAAGACCGUAUUAAUGACGAGAAUCCAUUUAGACGAAGAAUAGCUUGAAUCGUCCAUCGUGAAAAUAAAUUUUGCCUUGCAAUCUACAUCGACUGUCACAAGCCUACAUCAUGCUCGAUGAGAUAUUUUUCAAUUACUCUCAUCCAUCGACUUAUCUAAUUGUUGUCAACCUCGUAUUGAAUUGUGCCUCAUCCUAUUGUUGGCAACGGUCGUGUGCACCAUGAUACGUGCCAUCCGCGGAUGUGAACUGGAUGUGGCCAACUCUAGCAAUAACAAUAAUAUGAAGAGGAUCAAUCUCUAGGAGGUUGGCGGCAUCUAAUAAGUAGUUGUAUGCGAUAAAUUGGAAAAUUUCUUACUGAGUGUGAUGUAGGCUUGCGAUGAUCGAUUUGUUUUGAGAGGUGAAAUUUGGCCUCCAUGAUGUACAGUUCAAAUGGCUCUUGGUCUGAAUGAAUUCUUCUUGUUGAUGUGAUCCUGGUGCCAUGAUGGUUUGACAAAGAGAGGCUCUAGUGUGCAGGAAGUGCACGCAUGUGGCUGCAUUUGGCACAAGAACUCUUUGUGCUUGGUUAGAAGGAAGAGUGUCUCUUCGACUGGUGUGCGAAAGAAAGGGCACCUCUUCAGCCCACAUCAACAGUAUUUCACAUGUUGAUGAAGUACCACGUGGAUAACGCCAGAAGUAGGUACGUUACCACUGUCAUGCCUUCUUGGCCAAGGCCAUCAAAUUGAUUUUUCGCUAAUAAAAAAUUAUAUGUAAGGCAGACAAAACUGCAUAUAGGUACUCAGCAACUUAAUUAACUAGUUUAACUCCACAAAUCUACAUAGCUAGGUAGUACUCAUGAACUUAAUUAUUGACUAGUUCAACUUCACAAAAGUUACUUGUUAAAGAAGUAAAUAAUUCAACUUCACAAACUACAUCAUCAUUCCAUAGCGAGCCUGCUGGGUGGUCGAUCAUAUUUCUUUGUCAAAGAUUAACUUCAACUGACGAAUCUUGUGUCUAUUUUUCUCUCCAUUUUUUCUGAAAUGAGCUAUCUCCAUCUUGAGCUCAUUCCUCUCAGACCUAACGAGUUUUCUCUCAUUCUUCAGCUUACCCCUCUCCUCGGUCAGCUAAUCUCUCUCGUCCCUCAUCCUAACAGUCUUGCCAAAGAGAUCAACCUUCUCAUUCAGCAGCUAACCCUUCUCCGCCUUCAGCGUGACAUUCGCCUUCUGCAGGACCUUGAUGCUAUAUUGAUGAGACACUAAGAGGUCGCGGCUCUGCAUCUCCACAUCAUAUACCUCCUCCUGGUUGCCACCAGCAUUGGCGAUGACAAGUCAGCGCCAACUACAAAAUAAUGACUAGUCUCAGUGCCAACCACACAACAUAUAUGAAAAUUGAACUAUAUGAAGUUUGGUAACUAUUCAUGUCAUUAUACCAUGCAUUUGACAAUCACAUAGCAACAUUAAUAUAUGUAUCAAAGCAGAAGUUGUAUAAUGUGUGAAUAUAAUUGGAUGACUAUAUAGUAAAUUACUUCAUCAAGUAUCCUACAAAUGUAGGAGGACAUCAUAUAACAUUGCACAGAACAAACAAAAAAUAUUAUAUCGAGAAAGCACAACACAUAUAGUUUAGAUAAGUGUUCCAAAUUCUCAACGACAAUAAGAAGUUAUUCCAAAUUUAACAACACAAUUGUUCAAAUAAGGUGAAGUUGAACAUUACAUAGUUCCAAAAAAAUUAUUCAGAUAAGACCAAGUUCAACUAGACAAACAUGGCAACCUUUUCUUCUAUAGUGACAUAUAUGCUAUCUUUCAAACCACACUUCAUACAUUUCUUUUAGCAAGUACUUCCUAUGAACAUAUCGAAGCUCCUCAUCACUAAAUCAUCUCAAACUCUUCGGUACUCCCUGCGUACUAAGAUAAGCUAGGCCAAGACAAACUGACUAAUUUUACAUUACUAAAUCUAAUUGUACACUACUAAUUUUAUACACAAAUAAACCAAAUCCACGGAUUCCAUGGCAUCCGCGGACGAGGAAGAUGGUACAGGAGGGGAAGAANNNNNNNNNNNNNNNNNNNNNNNNNNNNNNNNNNNNNNNNNNNNNNNNNNNNNNNNNNNNNNNNNNNNNNNNNNNNNNNNNNNNNNNNNNNNNNNNNNNNNNNNNNNNNNNNNNNNNNNNNNNNNNNNNNNNNNNNNNNNNNNNNNNNNNNNNNNNNNNNNNNNNNNNNNNNNNNNNNNNNNNNNNNNNNNNNNNNNNNNNNNNNNNNNNNNNNNNNNNNNNNNNNNNNNNNNNNNNNNNNNNNNNNNNNNNNNNNNNNNNNNNNNNNNNNNNNNNNNNNNNNNNNNNNNNNNNNNNNNNNNNNNNNNNNNNNNNNNNNNNNNNNNNNNNNNNNNNNNNNNNNNNNNNGUCUCAACUGCUGACCCAGAGGUGGCGGCGAUGAGCGGUGUGGUCAGGAGGUGGCAGCGGCGCUGCUUAAGAGGGGGGACGAAGUGAAAAAGAUAUGAUGGGGUGAAUUAGACUUAGGUUUUUUUAUUGGAUAUAGUAGUUUGAAGAUGGACUGGUGAUGUCGUGGUAGGCCCAUGACAUAACAAAUUGUAGCAAACAGAAGAAAAAAAACUCAGCGAAUAUCUAUUGCAUGACCAAAAAAAUACUAUGUCAGCACUAAUCUAAUAGCGAUGACGUACAAAAUAUGCCAAUGCCAGCACUAUUUAAAAAAAUAGUGCUGGUUUUGAUCGAAAAUGACGCGCCGCCAACAAAAGUUGUAGAUGGCCAUUUCUCCACUGGUGAAAUAAUCCUUAAAAGUCUUAAAAAUAAUUAAAUCAGGACUAUAGUUUUGACAUUUCAUAAAAGUAUAAAAUUCCCAAUGUCAACAUCAACGUUAUUAUCAUAUACUCUUAUAGUAGUUAAAAUAAGUUCAAUUGGACUAUAUGCUAGAAUUUGCUUAUACAAAUCAGCAUGAAAUCCAUCUCGGCCAACUCAUUUGUUUGUCUGUGUGCCAAACACAUACUCCUGUAGUACCUCAAAGGUAAAUUUCCUAGUCAAUAUCUCCUAAAACAAACUAGAUUGUUCUGACUUUCCAAAUAAUAUUGGUUAGAAAUCAGUUAUAAAAUCAAUCGCAUUAGAUUGUCCUUCAAUAACUCCUACAUCUUGGUAAGGCUGAGCAGUUGUGUUUUUCUUUUCGUCUUCCAUUAGCCAUAGGUAUUUUCCCUUCAUGGAAUUCCAUCUCAUGAUAUCUGUGGAGUGAUUUCAUUUUCUCCUCUUUUAGAAUGAUCCUUAGGUAUUUUGACAUUGUUGUUGUACAAAUUGUCCUCAACUAUUAAACCUUGGGAUUCUUCUAGCCCGUCCAACCCAUCUUAUGCUUUCGGAGAGAUUUUUUCAGCUUCCUCUAUUCAACUUGAAUAUUUAUGUUUCACCCCUUAAGUUUUUUCCUUGUAUAAUUUUUACUGCCAGAUAUCUAAACAAGUAGCACUACGAUAUUUUUCUGCCAAAUCUAACCUACUAGUAUAUAAUAAAGUCAGGUCUAUAGAACCAACAAUUCUCAAGUUUGAAAACUUCGUAGAAUGUUGGGCAGUUCCCCCUAGGAGAUUAGUAUAUGGGUACAGCCAGAAAGAUCCUUGGCUAAAUAAGUAGCCCUCACUAGAGGAAACUCAUCUCCCUAAGUAGGGAAAACCAAAACUCUAUCAAACUUCUCAAAAGUGGGAACUUCCAUGUUCUCUGAUGACCAGGUAUAUUUCACACCACUAGGAGCAUCUCUAACCAAUCCUUGAAAAAUCAUUUAUAGGAGAAAAAUAGGCUGCUAAUGAGACAUAACCGAACUCUCAAAGGCCAAAGAACGUGCUAUCAUGUUUAAGAACCCGAACACAAGAUGCCACGGCAAAAAUGUUUUGGGAGCUCACUCAUGGAGAAAUCUUGACCCAAAUGGAGACAUCUCUUCGGAGUGAUGGUGGUGGCCUUGUGGAUGGUGGUGGCCUUGUGGAUGGUGGUGGUUGCCACGGAGAUGGGAGUGGUGGUCAUGUGGAUGGGGGUGGUGGCCGUGGAGAUGGUGUUGGACAAGGAGGAGAUGGUGGUGGUGGCCGCAUGGAUGCUUGUGGAUGUGGAGAUGGCGAUGAUGGAGAUGGUCAUGAUCUCUUUGGUGACAGUGGUGUUUGAGUUCGUGUUGCAUGCCUUUGGUUGGGCUCGAUCCGUGACAUAAACAUACUAUGUUGUGGUGAUUUUGGAUCAAACUUGAUCGAUGUGGUGCCUUUUGGAUGAACUGUUUGCAUGUUUUAAUUUGAAUUGGCAACUAUAUAUGAGUUCUUGGUUUGUGCAUGUUGAAUUUGAGUCACUCAAAUGAUUGAUUAAAUAGCAUGCGUUUGUUUGAAAUCUAUGCGGCUAGGCUAAAUGAAUUGAGCCAAAAAUAUGUCCUCCUCUAAAUAUAGGGAAACAAUUAGGCCCUGUAAAAGGUUGAUGGAAGCGCUGAACCCUUAGCUCGGGCCGCGAUUGUAUAUAUAUGAUGUAUGUCGUGGCUUACAAGAACCGGUCGAGAAGAGAUCGAUCGUUAUUGUUACAGGAGGUUGAAAGAGAUAAAAGAGAAGAAGAGAUAGAAAGAGAUACAAGUUAAACAGCUUUCCUAUCUCUACACAAUAUCUUCUAACACUCCCCCUCAGUCUAAACCUUAGGAAACUUGUGCAAGGUUAAGAUUGUACUUGAACUCAUCCAACCUCCUCAUAGUGAGAGGUUUUGUGAAGCCAUCAGCAAGUUGAUCUCGAGUAGGUAUAAACUGAAUAUCAAGUAGCUUUAAAGCCACUCUUUCUCUGACAAAGUGGAAAUCAACUUCAAUAUGGUUGGUGCGUGCAUGAAAAACAGGAUUAGCUGAAAGAUAAGUUGCUCCAAUAUUAUCACACCAUAAUCUAGCAGCUUUAGGAGCCUUGAUUCCAAGUUCAUAGAGCAAUGUCUGUAUCCACAUUACUUCUGUUGUAGAAUUCGCCAAAGCUUUAUACUCAACCUCUGUACUUGACCUUGAGAUAGUAGCCUCUUUUAUUGCACUCCAUGAUAUGAGAUUAGUUCCCAGAAACACAACAAAACCACCUGUAGUCCUUCCAUCAUCAGCACACCCUGCCCAGUCUACAUCAGAAUAAGAAGUAACAAGUAGAGAUGGAGGCUUGGUAAUCUGAAGUCCAAGUCCUCCACAAAACUUAAGAUACCUUAAAAUCCUCUUAACUGCACUCCAGUGAGUUGUUCUAGGUGCAUGUAAAUACUGACAUACCUUAUUCAUAGAGUAAGAAUUAUCAGGACGUGUAAGAGUUAGAUAUUGUAAAGCACCCACAACACUUCUAUAAUUUGUUGCAUCUUCUGAUCCAAGUGCUUCUCCUCUCUCAAUUGUAAGUUUUUCAGAAGUUGAAGUUUGUGUACUCACAUGUUUACAAUUGUGUAGUCCUACUCUCUUGAGUAUAUCAGCAGUGUACUUUUCCUGCGUAAGAAGAAUACCAUCUUUGACUCGGUUGACCUCUAUGCCAAGAAAGUAGUGAAGAUCACCCAAGUCCUUGAGAGCAAAUUCCAACUUGAGAUCUUUAAGCAAACAAGUGGUAGCAUCUGAACUUGAGCUUGCAACAAUUAUAUAAUCAACAUAAACAAGUACAAAUAUAGUGAUCUUGUCUUUAUGAUAAAAGAACAAUGAAGUAUCAGCUUUAGAUGGUGUAAAUCCAAGUUGUUGCAACUGCAUGCUCAACCUUGAGUACCAAGCUCUUGGGGCUUGUUUCGGACCAUACAAAGCUUUAUCCAACUUACAAAGAUAAUGUGGUGUGCUUUGAUUCUCAUAUCCAGGUGGUUGCCGCAUGAACACUUCUUCCUCAAGAACACCAUGAGAAACGCAUUCUACACAUCUAGCUGCCGUAAAAUCCAUCCUCUGGAAAUAGCAAUAGACAAUACAAGUCAAAUAGUAGCUACCUUAACAACAUGACUAAAAGUAUCUUCAUAAUGAAUACCAAAUCUCUACUUAAAACAUUUGUCAACUAAUCUAGCCUUGUAUCUGUCUAUACUUCCAUCAGAUUUUCUUUUUUAUCUUAUAUACCCAUUUGCAGUCUAUAACAUUGCUACCUUGCUUUGAAGGUACUAAGUGCCAAGUUCUAUUUGUCAUGAGUGCAUCAUAUUCUUUAUCCAUAGCCUCCUUCCAAUCUUUAUGUGCUAGAGCAUCAUGCAAAUUAUUUGGUUCACCAACAGUACUAAGAAAAACACGUUUGCCUCUGUCAUUCCAUACCGUACCAUCCUUAUACUCCUUAUUUUUGACGAUACCUGACUGUGACCUGGUGUGACGACGAGGAGCCGACGAUAGAGCUGCUGAUGUAGGCGUAGAACGAUCCACAGAAGAUCCCAUAGCCGGAUCCAAGAAAGAUUCUGCACUGGCUGCUGUGCCUGACACCUCAGAUGUCCCCCUGUCAACAGCUGCACCCGCCACGUCAUCCUGCGAACAAGUGGCGCUCGGUGAUAGGGACGCGCUCGCCCGCGGUGAUAAGCGCUCGUCCACGCCACGCGAUGAUAAGCGCUCGCACACGCCUGGACUAGCGGGCUCCACCUGGUGGGGGUUGUUGGCCAUGCAUGCGCAUGCACAUGCGCCUGGGCUGGCGGCCUCGUCCAAUCGCGGAGCGAGAUAGGCAGGGUCCACCUGGUCGGCCACCCGCGCACGAGACGCAUGCAGAGGAGAGCGAUCCUCCUGGGAUCGCGUGCUGCUAGGGACAGAUGCGCUGAUGCAAGGAUCGGCUUGGGAUCUAGCGCCGCUGCCAGCAGGAUCAGCAUGGGAUCUCGUGCGUGUCUCGUCCUGAUCUAUACACAUAAAAUGACGACCAAAAUCUGCAGAAUCACAAUUUUCAUUGGAAUUUUUCACAAGGUCAGCAUUAUUUAGUUCACCCCGUGAUCUGGAAGAAGAGCUAUUUCAGAACAGAGGAGAGCUCCUGCAUUUGGAUGAAACUUGGCAAAUGGAAAGAGAUUUUCAUCAAAAACAACAUCUCGAGAAAUAUAAAUACGUCCAGUAGCAACUUCUAGACACUUAUAGCCUUUGUGAAUAUUACUAUAGCCAAGAAAAACACAUUGAGUUGAACGAAACUCAAGUUUAUGACGAUUGUAAGGACGAAGAUUGGGGGAGCAUGCACAACCAAAAGUUUUGAGAGAAUUGUAAUCUGGUUUUUGAUUAUAGAGACGCUCCAAAUGAGUAGAAUUGGCAAUGACUUUGCUAGGAAAAUGAUUAAUAAGAUAUGUGGCAGUGAUGAAAGCUUCAUCCCAAUAUUUGAGAGGCAUAGAAGCAUGAGCAAGUAAAGAUAAACCAACUUCAACAAUAUGAUGAUGUUUUCUCUCUGCAGAGCCAUUCUAUUGAUGGGCAUGAGGACAAGACACAUGGUGUGCAAUACCAAUACUACGAAAGAAGGAGUUGAGCUUCUCAUACUCCCCUCCUCGGUCACUUUGGACUGUCAAAAAUUUUCUGGCAAAGUGUCUUUCAACAAGUUUUUGAAACUCUUUGAAUAUGGAAAAAACAUCAGAUUUAUACUUGAGUAAGUAAAUCCAGGUAAACUUGCUAUAAUCAUCAAUGAAACUAACAUAAUAUUUCUUUCGUCCUAAAGAAUCACGGGCAUGGCCCCAUACAUCACUGAAAAUAAGCUCUAAAGGAGCAUGAGAAACACUACUUGAUCUAGGAUAGGGAAGUUGGUGACUCUUGGCACAUUGACAAGCUUCACAAACUAAAUCACUAAGAGGACUAGGAGACAAAGAAAGAUUGCCUUUAUUGAUAACUUGCUUAACAAUGACUGAGGAAGGAUGUCCUAAUCGUUGAUGACACCUUGCCAUAGAGGGCUUGAUGAUGGAGUAGACCUGACAACGCUUGCAACUAAGUGCUCCGGAUGUGAUGGGGUAGAGGCCUCCAAUGCAUCUACCGUGGUGUAGAAGUUCCCUUGUUGCCCGAUCCUUUAUAAAAAAGUAACGAGGGUGAGUUUCAAAGAAGACAUUAUUAUCAGUGGCUAAACGAGACAUAGAAGCAAGGUUUUUGUCGGCUUGAGGAACAUGAAGAACAUCUUCAGAACUAGAUCACAGUUAAGCAUAGCUGAAUUAAUAAACGCUUGAGCAAUGUGUUGGAUAUCCAUACCUCCACCGCUUGCGAUGUCAAUCUGAUCAUUGCCGUGAUAUUUUUCACGGAGAGCGAACUUCUCUAGCUCACUUGUGACAUGAUCCGUGGCGCCGGAAUCAACGUACCACACGCCAUCUCCUCCUUGCUCACGCAUGGCUGCAGAAACAUGUUUAGCAUCGGGAACGUAGUCUUCAUCAAAGCGGGGCCAGCAAUCCAUAACCUCAUGGCCGGCCUUCUUGCAGAGUUGGCAGCGAGGACGACCACGAGAGGAAGAGGAGGAGCGGCGGCUAGUGUUGUUGUUGAAGCCACCACCCCCUUAUCUGUUGCUAGAGUUGUUGUAGCUGCCGCCUCCGGUGUUGUUGUAGUUGUAGUUGUAGUCGUUGUCCUGGGAGUUGCCGCGCCCACGCCCACCGCCGCGUUGCGCGUGGUGACCACGCCCACGACUGGGGCCACGCGAGACGGCGUUGGCGGAGGAUUGACGAAAGCUGGCGCCAUGAAGGAGGCUGAGGCGGGCGUCGAAGCUCAGGAGCUGGCUAUAUAGCUCCUGGACAGUGAUCGGCUCCACCCGAGCUGCAAGGGCCGAGACUACUGGAUUGUAGUCCAUGUCUAGCCCGGCCAAGAUCUUGGACACGAUCUCCGGAUCGGAGAACGCGGCCGCGGUGCAGGCAACUUCAUCUGUGAGGCUCUUAAUCUUUCCAAGAUAUUCGGCCAUAGUCAUGUUACCUUUUAGAAGAUUCGUAAGCUCGAUGCGGGUAUUUAUAGCUUGGGCUUGGCUCUGGGCGGCGAACAUGUCGUGGAUGGUGCACCAAACUUCAGCCGGCAUCUGCAGCGUGGCGACUUGUGCAAGAAUGUCGCGGGAAAGGGAGCCCUUCAAGUAGCCUUGGGGCUGUUGCUGCUGUGCAAACCAGAGGGAUCUUGCAAAGUUCAGUACAUGUUAUUCUUUGCCGUCCUUGGUGAUGGUGAAGGUGGACGGCGGUGCCGGACUCUUCGCGUCGAGAUAAUGUUCCAUCUGCGCGCCCCUGAUCUGUGGUAGGACGAUGGCCUUCCAGAGCAGGAAGUUGCCCCUCGUCAGCUUCUCUUGCGGCGGCGAUCCGAGGAAAGAGGUGGUGGAGUUGGAGGUGGAUGAUGACGCAAACGUGGAGGAGGAGGAGGUGGUGAGCGCACCCAUGGUGCUGGGCGUCAUGGAUGCGGUGGUGGUGGACAUGGCUGCGGUCGCCUGGUAGCUAGAUGCGAUCUCUAUCCAAUCUAUCGAGGAAGAGGCUCUAUUACCAUGUAAAAGGUUGAUGGAAGCAUUGAACCCUUUGCUCGGGCCGCGGUUGUAUAUAUAUAUAUUGUAUGCCGUUGCUUACAAGAACCGACCGAGAAGAGAUCGAUCGUUAUUGUUAUAGAAGGUUGAAAGAGAUAAAACAGAAGAAGAGAUAGAAAGAGAUACAAAUUAAACAGCUUUCUUAUCUCUACACAAUAUCUUCUAACAGGCCCGGCCACCGUUGGAGGCAAAAAAUUAUCCUCCACUAAAGAUACUUGCCCGUAUCCUCCACUAAAUUAUAGAUGAUUGGUUGGAGAUGCCCUAAUAGAGAUUUCCAUCAAGACAUCCGUUGCGCUACUUGAGUUGAAAAGGAUGCUCGACUUGUUGUAUCCGCCUGGAUUUUUCUUAUUAGAUGACCUCCUUGUCAUGUUAAAAUCUCCAACAAUAAAACUGGGCGCUUGUAAGGUAUUUAUGAGAUGCACCCGCUCAACCCAGAAUUAUGAUUUCUCUAUGGGAUGGGCACUGAGAAUCACCAAAAACAAUCACCACAUUCCAUGUCAACCCAUCAGAAAAUAUUCAACCUUCUCCUUUUCAACCACAUUAAAAGAAAGUAUAUUAGACAAGCCGGCAGUCUGGGCCGCCCGCAUUGAUCUUUUUUGCAUUAGCAUGAUUAUUAGGGCAUCUCCAAUGCCGACCCUCAAACCGCCAGCAUCUGUUCGGGCGUAGAAUCCAUCCAACGCGGGCUUGUAUCGGUCGGUAGGACGGUCCGGACACGUUUUCUCCCGCAAACCGAAAACAUCAUGGGGGGCUUCGCGGGAGUUCGGACCGCUGCCAUGCCCGCUUCUGACCGCCCUGGCCCACCCAAACCUCCUCCUCCCUCCCGCGUGUGCUUCCCGCCCGAAACGAUCAGCGUCACUCCAGAGCAUCAGUGCCCGCAUUCAUGCCCAGCCAAAGCGGACGUGACCGCUCACUGGUGUCGGCAUUGAAGCAGUGCGCUGACCGAUAGAGUGACACCCGCGCUGCUUCCUGGUGCAGGUGACCACUUCGCAUUCAAACGAGACGACAGCCACUCUCUUGUCUAUCUGCCGCCCACAUUAAUGACACAGGGUUGUCGAGGCCCAACUCUGGCGCUACCCGUCUGUCCCUCUGUCGCCCAUCAUUGCUAUAUAAACCGCUGCCACGGGCAUAGCCGCAGCCAUCUGUCUCCGAUCCCUCUUCGCACCGCUCCCACCAUGGAUUCCUCCCCCGACAAAGCUCUCAAGGACGGGCUGACGCCGUACCAGCAGAAGGAGUUUCUUGCCAUUGCUGUCGGUUGGCUGGCCGGUAGGAGGACGACGUCCCAACGGAGGACGGAGCCGAUGAUGAGUCGGCACCACACUCCUCGUCUGUGCAACCCUCCUUCUCCGCGCCACACUCAGCAGUGCUUUGCACCAUGACCAUCGGCGAGGCCCAUGCCCAUUCACUACUAGGGAAAAGCCUAGCAGUACCAUGGGUUUUUGGCCUAUCAGUAGCGCGGGUUGCCGCGCUACUGAUAAGGCGCUACAGCUAAAGGUUAGCAGCAGCGUUGUUCAACACACACUUCUGCUAAGUACUUACUAGUAGCGAGUUUUCCGUAAUGUGCUACUGGUAAGUACUAGCAGCGCGCCUCUGCGCCCGCGCUACUACUAUUAUUACGUGUUCUAUUUCUUUUUCAUUAUAUGUCGUAUUCAUACACCGUUAUACAAGUUUUCAUACAAUAGCAAUUUAGAGAUUGUUUUUACAUCAUAAUGAGUUAUUACAUCACUGGGUGAAAGAAUCGUGGACUAGUUUCAAGUGGAUGGAUCCAUCCACUUCAAACUAAUCUGCGGUUAUUUCACCCAAUGAUAUAAUAAAUCAUCAUAUCAUUAACAACUUAUCAUCAUAAUACAUCAUUGUCAUAUAACACCUCCUCAUGAUCAUCAUUUUCAUCAAAUGAGACAUCAUAUAGCAAGUUGGUCACUACUCAUAAUCACAACUCAUCAUCAUCAUCAUCAUCAACUCUUAACACAUUGUAGCACAUAAUAACACAUUUUACCUAGGGCCUACUCCUCUCUUAUAGGACCUACUACCUUAUCUUAGGUAAAAUAGCAUAAAAGAAGAUAGGCCCUGACUCUCCAUUAUGGAGAAUGGAGAUUAUCCUGUCUCCAAUUCUUGUGCUUCGCACAAUGUUGCUUCCAAGUAGCUCCCUACGAUUGACCAUACAUUUUUUCCAAUCUUUGAUUGUCAUGUCUCCAUCGGUUUUAGAAAUCUGAUACGAACAAGAGUCAUUCGUAGGAUGGCCUAGCAGUAAGUUCAAAACAUCAAGGCGGCCUUUCCGAAACAUCAGAUGAGGCACACAAUCCUUCGGGAUUUUCUGUUGAAAAAUAUUGUAAUAAUUUUGUAGUUAGCAAUGUAGUUGAGUUUUACAAGAAUUUAUGCAAAAGAUGCACGGAUGUCGUAAUAGUAAAGAAUCUUACCUUGACAUCUCCAUGGAUGUUACCAUAGUUCAACACAUGCACUAGUGGCACGUAUUGACCAUAAUGUGGAGGAGUUUGAUAAUAGAUAUUGUAAUUCUCAAGAUCAGUAAUAAAUGAGAUCAGAUGAUUUUUCUCCUGGUAAGUUAAUUAUGAGCCAUCGGUGUAGUAGGUUCUGUAUACCAUCUUCCGCACAUUCUUUGAAGAAUGAAAAUAAGCUAUCAAUAGAAAUAAGAUAUCAACUAUUUUGAAAUAAACAAUAUAAAUUGUUUAAUAACUAUGUUUGGGAAACUCACAUAGCGGUAGAAUUGGAAGCAUAUCAACAAGGACCCAAAUGUCCAUAUUGUCUUGGGCGAUGUCAGAAUCACCAAGAUACAUGGUGACAAGCAUACCCUCAUGAAAAUCAUACAUCUUGCCAAGGGCUUUCCAAUUCUGUCAACCAAAAUUGGAUACGCUCUCAGAAUUGUAUAGAUUUACAUCAGAAUCCAUACCAUGAUGGUCCUUAGGUGAAUUUUCUUUGUUUCCAUACUUUCAUGAUCUUCAAAAUACAUCCUCUCCAAGACAUAGCAUCUUGCAUGGCAUGGGAUAAGCUACUCGAAUUGUAAAAGACGAAAAUUACACGUUGAAGUACUAGAAGUAGUGCUUAAUUACGAAAAAACACUUGUCGUCAUUGCGUACCGUUUCAACGUCGAAGGUCUCCUAGAGCUUAAUGCUGAAGCACCAACCUUCGUCCAGGUGAGGCCUGUUGCCCAGACCCUGGUCGUCGUUGCGCCAGUCGCACUCCCCGGGAGACUUUCGUCGUCAGAUGACGACAUUUCCUAGGUUCAUAAUUCAAAGAUUAAACUGGUACAAUUAAAUAUAUGUACUACAAAAACUAAAUUAGAUUAUUAUUAUUCAUCACGGGUUGACUAUCGGUCUGCCACUCUUUUCUUGAAAACUCUCAGCUCACGUGGUGUAUAUAUUCGACUGUCGGUGAUGGUCGCUCCUCCCUUCAUCCCCAAGUGCAUUACAGCAAAAUAUCUAGCACGCCGGAACGAACGAGAAGCGACCCCCACGACAACAGUCGGGAUUCUUUGUUUUCUCAUAUACGAUGGAGACUCUCCCUCACUGAUUCCUCUCUGACAUUUGUGACCGUCGGUGAUGGUCGUUACUCCUCCUUCCCCUAGAACAUAGCAAAGGACUAGCACGAGAAGAAGGAGAAAUGACCCCCCCGACAACAGUCGGGAUUCUUCGUCCUCUCUCACAUAUGAUGGAUACAAUCCCUCACUGAUUUUUCGACCGUCGGUGAUGGUCGUUAUUCCUCCUUCCCCUAGUGCAUAACAAAGGUCUAGCACAAGGAGAAGAAGGAAAAACGACCCCCACGACAACAGGAGGGAUUCUUCUUCUGUCAUAUAUGGUGCAGACUUUCUCCCUCACUCAUUUGUUGACUGUCAUGUAUGGAGCCUUGAACGACUUAAAGUCAACCUGCAAUGUCGUUUAAUUAUCUUUCUAGAAAAUCCAGGCCACUCGUAAUGUCCUACAUAUUCUAGCACAAGUCAUGCCAAAAUUCACCGAAAAAUCUGGCAUGACCAUUGCUAAAAAAGGACAUAUCGGGCGCCUGAAAUUUGCUGGAACGGAAAUUAAUCAACACUCUGGAAAACAUAGGCCACUCGGAGGUGUAACCUGCAAACAUGGCCGACCACUUGGGCAAGCACAUAUCCUAUUUGAGGAACACAAGAUAUACAUGUUUAUAUCUACAUCAUAUGAGCAUUCAAACUUGGUGGUCAUUGCAUUUCAAUUGUUGAAAAUAUGAACAAAAACAUUUCAAAAUAUCUUAUAGGACUCAUAUUGACAUGGAGAUUUGGCUGGUCUCACCUCGAGGUCGGAGGCGGGCGGUGACGAGGACGACGGCGGGGAUGAUGGAGGGGCUCCUUGAUUUCUGCAAAAACAAAAACCAUAUAAGCUAUCAACUAAUCAAAUGCAUACGCCUUGCAUAGUGGGGUCAAUUUGAGCAUUCAAAAUAGGAGUAGGUCUCCAAUUUGAGCAUUCAAUAAGUAAAACCAAGUCAUAAUUCAGAAUGAUUGAGUGAGCUAAAAUCUGAAGACGGCUUAAGAUUAUUGAAAACUUCCCAAAUCAAUAAUACAACUAAAUUGUCAGAUGGAACCAAAAGGAAAUUGUAUUUGUCAAGUUUAAUCUGGACCAACUAAGAUAGUCUUCAAUAUUCAAGAUUGUAUCGGAUCUUGAUUCUUAAUCAGCGAUAACAAAUGACCACAUGCAUACAACAGGUGGAAGGAGAAGAUACUCACAUGUGUACCCACUUGAAUUUCCUGCAAGUAAGAAAUGGUUGGGAACAGAAUUACUGCAGAAGGAUUCAUAUGGAUGAACUGAGCGGUGAAAUCUUCCUGGUUAUUGUCAAUCACAACCAGGGCCGGCCCUAUGUUUUGGGAGGCCCUAGGCGAACUCGACGACAUGGGCCCUCUAAGUCCUAAGACCAUAUAUNNNNNNNNNNNNNNNNNNNNNNNNNNNNNNNNNNNNNNNNNNNNNNNNNNNNNNNNNNNNNNNNNNNNNNNNNNNNNNNNNNNNNNNNNNNNNNNNNNNNNNNNNNNNNNNNNNNNNNNNNNNNNNNNNNNNNNNNNNNNNNNNNNNNNNNNNNNNNNNNNNNNNNNNNNNNNNNNNNNNNNNNNNNNNNNNNNNNNNNNNNNNNNNNNNNNNNNNNNNNNNNNNNNNNNNNNNNNNNNNNNNNNNNNNNNNNNNNNNNNNNNNNNNNNNNNNNNNNNNNNNNNNNNNNNNNNNNNNNNNNNNNNNNNNNNNNNNNNNNNNNNNNNNNNNNNNNNNNNNNNNNNNNNNNNNNNNNNNNNNNNNNNNNNNNNNNNNNNNNNNNNNNNNNNNNNNNNNNNNNNNNNNNNNNNNNNNNNNNNNNNNNNNNNNNNNNNNNNNNNNNNGUGUUUGCGUGAUACAUAUAUAUAACUUCAUUUGCAUAAUACUAAAAGUAAACUUUCAACCACACAUCUUUAGUUUGAAAUUUGACUACAAUAGUUGUUGGACAAUGCAAAAUAAAACAAACGUGACAUGAUUACCUCAAAUAGGAAACAAAUUUAUUUGCUCCUCUGUAUACUUUCACAAUCUUCAUUGACCUUAACAUCUGAAUUUUCAUGCCCGGGAUUAGUUCCUUGCCUAUGUUCUUCACUGACAUCAACAAUACUUGAAGAUGUAAAAUACUUUGUCAAAGAACCCUUCAGUGGUUGAAUUUUCAGAUGUAUUUCUUUCUUUCUUUUUCUUUUUUCAGCACCCGACAAAUGCUUCUUAGGCAACAUGGCAUGCUAGUCUCCUAAUAUUACGAAGCAAAGAGUAGACAACAAAUUAGAAAUUUAUAGAUCGGAUGAUCAGAACCCUAAACAUGUACACAAAAUGACAAAAAAAUAGGAUGGUUGAAUACAUACUAUGAAAGAUUGAAUCAGAAAAUUAUACAUCAAAAAAUAGAUACUUCAUGGGAUGAAUAGUUCGAUAUACGUACUAAAGAAACUACUGAAAUUGGAGAUAGAUGAAUGGAUUAAGAACAUCCGAACAUGGAUAUUGGGUACGGACCUGCGUUCGCAUACAUAUGUAUUUCCGUAUUGCUCCAAGGCCGAGUUGUCGGAUUGCUGCGUGCCGCGGCAGCAACGAGCGGCUGAGGCACCAAGCGAGGAACGAUGGAGCGACGGGCUGAUGAGACGACAAAGAAGAAUCGACGAGCGACGAAUGGGAAAAAUUAGAUUUUUUUCGAGAAGAAAGGAAAAGCCAGACAUUCCGAUUGAUUUGUUUAACACGUGUGCGUGCAUCGAGUGGCUGUGACUUGCGUGCACGACGCUUCGCUACGCAUUACCAGGCGAUCUGAUGGGGCGAGCCCAUCUUGCUUUCUUCCUCUCAUAAUUUUUCCCUUGUCUAUUUUUUUGCUGGGCUAUACUAUAUGUGUACUACAUCCUGGGGCCCCCUCCGGCCUGGGCCCUGGGCCAUCGCCCCUCUGCCCAUGCCCCAGGGCCGGCCCUGAUCACAACAUCGACCAGAAUAGGCGGCAAGGUUGAGACUCAGUGGGGUUGGGAGCAGCAGGGCGGCAGGGCUGGUUUCUUGGAUGGGCCGCUCGGUGUGGCUGUCGAGGAGUAGAGGCCAUAUCUUAGAACAUGUGAAGGCAUGGAGCUAGCAAGGAGAUGAAGGCGAGAUGAACCGGCCGCUCACUGCUACCGAGUCGCCGCCGUCGCCUACCUGUACUCGGAGCCGCCGCUGCCACCGGCUGACUGCUCUCUCCUUGUCAACCCCCCUCCUCCUCUCCCGGUUAGGCGUAUAGAUAUGGCUGGGUGAGGGAGGGAGCAGCGAGGAUGGUGGUGGUAGAUGGUCGUAGCGGUGAGGGGAGGGGAGUCCGACCUGCCACCGGCCGCCUCUGGUGCGAGGCGAGGUGAGUCGGGCGGAGGGUUGGCCUGCUUCCGUCCGCCUCCGGUGCGAGGCGAGGCUAGUUGGGCGCGGGCGUGUGCGAGAGGAUGCCGGCGACCCUUUUUUCACGGUAACCAUUAUUCUACUUAGCAAAGUCACUGCGGGUUAAUUACUAAAAAGUAUAGGGAUCUUUGUAUAAAAACACCGCGACAGUGAACCUGGAGACUCAAUCAGUGCUUUAUUAUUAGGGAGAGAUUUGACAAUAUUCAAGACGAUUUAUUCGAGAUUAUAUUCGAUGAUGCAUAUUAUGUACAAUGAUUCCAUUUUUUCUUAUUGAUUUCAUGCAUGCAUUGUAAUUUGAAUACUAAAUUGUUUUAUAUUUCUUCUGGAUUAGUUAAAUAAAAGCUAUGGACAAUACCGGCAGAGAAGGAGAGGAGGCCCUAUUCAACAUCAUACGCUCAUCCUCUCUCCCACAUGAGUUUGAAGAAGAUGACGGCUCACAAUAUCUGAACCCUACCGGGGAGAGUAUGAUAUUUGAUGAAGACAACUGAAUAGAUUAAGACCAGAACUAUGAAUAUGAUGACGAAGAAAAUGUUGAUCUUGAAAUAACAAAGACCGGUGAGGUAUAUUUAUAUAAGCAAGCAUAUGGUGAUCAUCACAUGUUUUAAAUGAUUUGUAUAUAUAUUAAUGAAUCGAUCUUUCUUCUUUAUGCCCUCCGGAUCGAGCAAAUCUUCUACAGGCAGGAGGACAGUGCGAGGCCUGGCCAAAAAGUUGAAGGUUGAUGUAAAGUACAAGUUCGUUCAUUAGUGCGGAGUUCUUGUGAAGGACCAAAUCCCGAUCUCCAUUCAAGAAUGGAAAAAGCCAGCAAAGGAACAUCCAUAUCUUACUUUUGUUGACCAAAGAGCAAAAUAUCUGCUUUGGGAAUAUCUCAUGUCACAUUUCACCCUACCAGAUCAUGUCACAGAUGCAGAUGUGCAGAAAGUCAAGGAAGCUGCUCCUAGGAAGAUGGCGGUUGCAUUCAACAACCAAAAGAAAAGUAUAUGGGCCCAGUACGUCGAAGGAGGAAACAAGACUCCAGAAUGCAUGGGUACACUGGAGAAGCAAAUACAUCACUGGCCCGCUUUCAUGAAAUUCAAGGAAUCGGAAUUAUCUAAGGAACGGUCGAGAGUAAACAAGCUCAAUGCUGCGAAAAAGGAUCAUUUCCAUAUCCUGGGGCCAGGUGGCUACGUGGUGGCCCGACCUAAGUGGGAUAAGGCUGAGCAACAGAUGGUGGAUGCAGGGGUCAUUCCAGUUACAUUGAGCUGGCCCCCCAGGUCGAGAACUUGGUUCUAUGCGCAUGGGGGGAUGUUGGACCCAAAGACAGGCCAGGUUUUGGACAAAGGCAAGUCUUGAAGGAGCCGACCUCAAAUUAGUUGUUGCAAUAGAAGAGGCUCGAACGGGGGUGUUCACGCCCAGCAAAGAGAACGACGAGCUUACGCGCUCCCUGGGAAAUCCUGAACACCCGGGAAGAACACGAGGCAAAGGCAUUGUUUCGCGGUAUGAGGGGUUUGCGGACUUGAACGCCGACUACAGAAGUCAUGCGAGAAAGAAGAUGGAGGAGGAGAAGAAGAGGAAGCUGGAGGAGUUGCAGAGGAAGCAGGACGCAGAACACCUUCAAGUCCUAGAAUCAGCACACGUGGAGUUGGCACUCCAGUUCCAGCUGCAACUAUAGGAGAUCGACUCACUUAGCCAAGAAAGGGGGUCUCAGCAGCGGCGGAAGCUAGCGGAUCCAGCAUUGGAUUGCACCGUCCCAUCCAUGCCGAGAAGCAGUGUGGGUUCCGCCCCGGGCGAUGAGGCACUGCUGGAUAGAUACCUUGUGGAUGAAAUCAUGGUUAACAUUAAAUUUGAGCUACACUUCAAAAUGAAGAACAUAUCCAUGAAGGUGGCGGACGUCGUUGCUUAUACAAAUCCCCCUGAAGCAACCUUCCAUUGCAACCAGAUUCCAGCUGGCUAUGCUCGUGUCGUGGUAGAUGAAUUGGUGGCACAAUAUUCGAGGCUAGAGCUUGACAUUCAUGGAGGUGACGAUGAGCACACACUGGGAGAGUCCAUACAUCGUAUCAUUCUAUGGAGAAACAGUUGCACCAUCUUUCCAAGGCCACCGACACCACGUCAGCCGACUCCUCCUCGAAGUCCUCCAUCGCGUCAGCAGACUCCCGCUCCUCCAAGUCAUCAGCCACCGCCUCAGCAGAGUCCUACUCCUUCAAGUCCGCCAACGCGUCAGGCCACUCAUUCUCCUCCAAAUUCGGCACCGCGCCAGCCCACAGAGCGAAAUGAGCCUCACAGUCCAAAAACAACUCACAAAGGGCUACGAAUCCCGUGAUAUGCAGCAUGGAGGCAGGCGUAAGGUUGUGCAACUAGAGGACGUAGAACUCCAGGAGCCCCCGGAGAAACGAAUGAAUUGGAAAUCCGAGCCCUCUUACCAAAUAAGGGACAAGGCAUACCCGCUCUCCCUUGGAGCGAUUGGGAAGGCUCUCCGCUUGCUCUCCGCCAUUAUAGGUGGCAAGCCCAGCUCGAACUGGGACCAUGUACGCUGGGGGAAGAAAUCCCUUGGUCUGAAGCAUCACUAAUUUGCUAUGCAGGAUGGAACAUCUCUCCCAAUCUCCAGGCUUGGGGCUAGGGGAGCGAGAGGAGGAGCUGCGUAGACCGGCCAUGAUUGGAUGGAUCUCUGUCGAAUGCGCUCCGAUGAAGGCUCUCCAAGGGAGGAUGGUGUGAUUUGGAUCUGAAUCCUCGUCUUUUUAAUAGGCAGCUCAUUCACACAGCUAGGGGGGUAAAUGUAAAAACACCCUGGCUCUUCACAUUCGCUCGACACAUGGAAAGUGGCCAUUAUUGGGCGUGGAAGCCAAGGAGUGCAACAUUCACAAGAGGUCGGGCACUAUUUCGACAGUUACACGGAAUUUGGAGAGGAACCCGCCCUGCAAUGCGGAAGACAAUACUGCGCGCCGGACUCAUUGUCAUUGAAGCCUGGUUCGGGGGCUACUGAGGGAGUCCUGGAUUAGGGGGUCUACGAACAGCCGGACUAUAUCCUUCGGCCGGACUGUUAGACUAUGAAGAUACAAGAUUGAAGCCUUCGUCUCGUGUCCGGAUGGGACUCUACUUGGCGUGGAAGGCAAGCUAGGCAAUACGGAUAUGGAUAUCUCCUCCUUUUAACCGACCUUGUGUAACCCUAACCCUCUCCGGUGUCUAUAUAAACCGAAGGGUUUUAGUCUGUAGGACAACAACCAUAACAUACAAUCAUACCAAGCUUCUAGGGUUUAGCUUCUCCGAUCUCGUGGUAGAUCUACUCUUGUACUACCCAUAUCAUCAAUAUCAGUCAAGCAGGACGUAGGGUUUUACCUCCAUCAAGAGGGCCCGAACCUGGGUAAAACAUUGUGUCCCCUACCUCCUGUUAUCAUCCGGCCUAGAUGCACAGUUUGGGACCCCCUCCCCGAGAUCUGCCGGUUUUGACGCCGACACUUAGCCAUAAAUUUAUCAAACUCAUCUAAGCAUGGGCUAGCAAACUUAGUAAACGGAAUUACAGCUUUAUCAUAUCUAUAGAGAGAAUUUACCUUUACUACCUGUGUCGGGUUAUCAAGACCAUGAGUUUCUUCGAUGGGUAAUGGAUUAAGAUUAUAUGUUUCUUCAACAGGCGCUAAAUUAAGACCAUGCAUUCCUUCAAUAGGAGGUAAAUUCUAAACAUCUUCAGCUUUAAUACCCUUUUUCUUUCAUAGAUUUCUUUGCUUCUUGCAUAUCUUCAGGACUGAGAAAUAGAAUACCCCUCUUCUUCGGAGUUGGUUUAGGAAUAGGCUGAUGAAUUGGCUCCGGAGGUGUCCAAUUAUUUUCAUUUGUCAACAUAUUAUUCAAUAGAAUCUCAGCUUCAUUCGGUGUUCUUUCCCUGAAAACAGAACUAGCACAACUAUCCAGGUAUUCUCUGGAGGCAUCGGUUAGUCCAUUAUAAAAGAUCUCAAGUAUUUCAUUUUUUUCUUAAGAGGAUGAUCAGGCAAAGCAUUAAGUAAUUGGAGAAGCCUCCCCCAAGCUUGUGGGAGACUCUCUUCUUCAUUUGCACAAAAUUAUAUAUAUAUAUAUAUAUAUCCCUUAAAGCAACUUGUUUCUUAUGAGCAGAGAAAUAUUUAGAAGAGAAGUAAUAAAUCAUAUCCUGGGGACUACGCACACAACCAGGAUCAAGAGAAUUAAACCAUAUCUUAGCAUCACCCUUUAAUGAGAAUGGAAAUAUUUUAAGAAUGUAAAAGUAGCGAGUUCUCUCAUCUUUAGUGAACAGGGUAGCUAUAUCAUUCAAUUUAGUAAGAUGUGCCACUACAGUUUCAGAUUCAUAACCAUGAAAAGGAUCAGAUUCAACCAAAGUAAUUAUAUUAGGAUCAACAGAGAAUUCAUAAUCCUUAUCAGUAACAAAGAUAGGUGAAGUAGCAAAAGCAGGGUCAGGUUUCAUUCUAUCAUUUAGGGAUUGCUUACUCCAUUUAGCUAAUAAUUUUUUAAGUUCAAUUGUAUUUCUGCAAGCUAAAAUAGCUAAAGAAGCAUCUUGGUCAAAUACAUAACCCUUAGGUAUAGCAAGUGGUUCUUCAUCAUCACUUUCAUCAGUAUCAUCAGAUUCAAUAUUUUCAAUUUCUCUAGCCCUAGCAAGUUGUUUAUCAAGAAUAUCACUAAGUGCCAUAGUAGUAUCAGGCAUAGAGGUAGUUUCAUCAUAAGUAUCAUGCAUAGCAGAAGUGGCAUCAUCAAUAACAUGCGACAUAUCAGAACGAAUAGAAGAAGCAGGUGUAGGUGUCGCAAGUUUACUCAAAACAGAAGGUGAAUCAAGUGCAGAGCUAUAUGGCAGUUCCUUACCUCCCCUCGUAGUUGAGAGAUAGAUCUUGGUUUUUGGAUCUCUCAAGUUCUUCAUAAUGAUAAGCAGAUAUAUAUCCCAAGUGACACAAAGAAUGGAGCUAUGCUCCCCGGCAACAGUGCCAGAAAAUAGUCUUGAUAACCAACAAGUAUAGGGGAUCGCAACAGUUUUCGAGGGUAGAGUAUUCAACCCAAAUUUAUUUAUUCGACACAAGGGGAGCCAAAGAAUAUUCUCAAGUAUUAGCAGCUGAGUUGUCAACUCAACCACACCUAGAAACUUAAUAUCUGCAACAAAGUGUUUAGUAGCAAAGUAAUAUGAUAGUGGUGAUAACGGUAGCAAAAGGUAACAGUAGUAAAAGCAAUGUUUUUGGUAUUUUGUAGUGAUGAUAGAAAUAGCAACGAAAAAGUAAAUAAGCGAAGCACAAUAUAUGGAAAGCUCGCAGGCAAUGGAUCGGUGAUGGAGAAUUAUGCCGGAUGCGGUUCAUCAUGUAACAGUCAUAACCUAGGGUGACACAGAACUAGCUCCAGUUCAUUGAUAUAAUGUAGGCAUGCAUUCCGAAUAUAGUCAUACGUGCUUAUGGAAAAGAACAUGCAUGUCAACUUUUGUCCUACCCUCCCGUGGCAGCGGGGUCCUUACGGAAACUAAGGGAUAUUAAGGCCUCCUUUUAAUAGAGAACCGGAACAAAGCAUUAACACAUAGUGAAUACAUGAACUCCUCAAACUACGGUCAUCACCGGUAAGUAUCCUGAUUAUUGUCAGUUCGGGGUUAACGGAUCAUAACACAUAAUAGGUGACUACAGACUUGCAACAUAGGAUCAAGAACACUCAUAUAUUGAUGAAAACAUAAUAGGUUCAGAUCUGAAAUCAUGGCAGUCGGGCCCUAGUGGCAAGCAUUAAGCAUAGCAAAGUCAUAGCAACAUCAAUCUCAAAACAUAGUGGACAAUAGGGAUCAAACCCUAACAAAACUAACUCGAUUACAUGAUAGAUCCCAUCGAACCCAUCACCGUCCAGCAAGCCUACGAUGGCAUUACUCACGCACGGCAGUGAUCAUCAUGAAAUUGGUGAUGGAGAAUUGUUGAAGAUGACGAUGGCGACCGAUUCCCCUCUCCGGAGCCCCGAACGGACUCCAGAUCAGCCCUCCCGAGAGGUUUUAGGGCUUGGCGGCGGCUCCAUAUCGUAAAACGCGAUGAUUUCUUCUCUUUGAUUUUUUUUCUCAUCAAAACUCAAUAUAUGGAGGUGGAGUUGGAGUCGGAGACGCAAUAGAGGGCCCACGAGGUAGGGUGUAUGCCCUAGGGGGGCAGGCGUGCCCCACACCUCGUGGCAAGACGGUGGGCCCUCUGGCCUUCAUCUUUGGCAGGUAUUUUUCUUAUUUUCUGAAAAGUGUCUUCGUGAAGUUUCGGGUCAUUCGGAUAAUGUUUGAUCCUGCACAUAAAUAACACUAUGGUAGUUCUGCUGAAAACAGCGUCAGUCUGGGUUAGUUCCAUUCAAAUCAUGCAAGUUAGAGUCCAAAACAAGGGAAAAAGUGUUUGGAAAAUUAGAUACGUUGGAGACGUAUCAUCCAUAUACAACAUAUGAGAUAAUACUUUAUAGCUUGCACUCUAAAUAUUGUCUCUGUUUUUGUCUUUCAUAUAUAUUUAUUAAACCGGUUAUGUUAUAGUGAGUUUGAUGGGAUGCUACUGAAAAAUAUAAAUGAACAAAUGUAUGAAAAUGAGGUAUUUGAUCUUCCAAACAACGAGGAUGUUGGUGACUAUUUAUAGUUCAAGUUACUUUAUGCUACAUUUAUAUCGUGUGAUCCAUGCCUAAUAUUCAGACAUUUUACAUCAGUUGCAAUUAUAUUCUAGAAUAAUAAUAAUGCAGACAUUGUUUCCCUUGUUUUUUUCACUAUAGUGUUGCUCCUAUACAACUAGGUGAUAAUAUAGGUGGUGAAGUAGAUAAGAGCAAGAGUUAAUAAGCAUGUCAGUUUUUUUCACUUGUUUCUACUUGUUAACUUUCUUAACUAGAUGAAUAAAAUUAAGCUAAUAUUAUGCUAUAUAAAUUGGGUUUCCCUAUUUACUUAAAAUGAUUGUCGAAUAUGGCAACAUACAAUUAUAGGCCCUCCAUUCUUUACGGUAUGAUAAACAUAUAACAAAAUUAUAUCUUGAUGAACCCAAUAGCUAGUCAAGGAAAUUUGACUUGAAUGGCUACUUGAUCAAUGUGACCAACUAAAUCCUUAAUAGAUACUGGUCUGAUCAACAGCUAAUGAAGUACUAAAUUGUGAAUGGUCAUCACAUACGUGUCUACAACCCCUUAUAAAUUCAGAUCAGUAUACGAAAUACACAAAGAGAAAAAGAGAAAUUUAACAUGAAUAGUGUCAAAAUGAAAUUCUUCACAUUUAGAUCUGGAUUUUUUUGGGGAUGUGCACAUAUAUGUGAUGAACAUUAAAAACAAAAUCAAAAUAUUUUGACGCAUCCAAAGUUGAAUUUGUCAACUUUAUAUCAUGCUAGUGCAUGAAUGAUAUUAUCACAUGAUAUUCUCCCUAGUAGCAGCAUACACACAUUGCAAGUAUACCAGAAUGUCGUUCUUGACCGAACAUUAAUUAUCGAUGUUUUCAUAGCUCCUCCGGACCUAAAAUUUACAUUCUUGAUGAUCGUUGGGAUGUUUGGUAUGAGAGAGAUAGACAUCGUGUUUUUGUAGCGCCACCUUACAAACCAUUAGUUGCCCGUGAAAACGAGGUAAUUUAUUGUACCCUCAUACUUCUGUAUUUUGAUUUAUGUACGUCAUAUGUGAACUAGUCUAAAAUGUUGCAUGCCAUGUCUGCAAAGUAUUCUUCAAGUCCAUAUACAAUAUAUGAGAUAAUACUUUAUAGCCUAAACUCUAGAUAUUGUCUCUGUUUUCGUAUUUCAUAUAUAUUCAAUAAACGGGUUAGGUUAAUGUGAGUUUGAUGGGAUGCUCCUGAAAAAUAUAAAUGAACAAAUGUAUGAAAAUGAGGUAUUGGAUCUUCCAUGCAACCAGGAUAUUGGUGACUACUUGCAGUUCAAGGUAUUUUAUGCUACAUUUAUAUGGUGUGAUCCAUGCCUAAUAUUCAGAAAUUUUACAUCUAUUGCAAUUCUCUACUAUUAAAGGAGAAUCGAACAUCGUGAUGGUUCGACCUCCAUCGAGGCCCCCUUCUAUCGCUAGCUUUCCCACCCACGUCCUCCCACCGUUUUUUUUCAAUCCCUCAGAAAACCAGAGGCAAGUAAACAAGGGAACCAAGCGGUUCAAUCAACAUCUUCCUCCCCACCUCGUACGGUCUACACACAACAUGGGCAAAGAAAAAAAACAAUGGUUCGACCUCCCGUCGCACGAUCUACGCAGCAAAACCAGCACACGAUCGCCCCUGCUUUUUUCGUGUUCAAUAGGCGCUUUUGCCCACGAUCUAUCCACCCGAAGCCCACGCACACCACGUCCGUCUCUCCCACCCCGUACUUCUUCGCAGCCGCAGCCGCCGAUCUGCUCUCAAGCUGCCACACCGAUCUGCUCUCCCACUCUCCGUUCUCCUUGAUAUGGUGUCGAGCUCCUCCGCACACCUGCUCUCCGUGCCGUUGCGGCACCGGCAGUGCAUGCUGCUGCUGGGUUCGGGUACGCGACGCCUUCGCUGGUGUGCCACCAACGACGAGCCGGCGCGCCGUCGUUGUCCCCUUCCGCGUGGGCCGACCUGGACGGAAGGCUGUCGAUCCAUCCUCGACUGCGAGGCGACGGCUCGACUUCCUCCGAUCUGGUGGUAGGACGAAAUCCCUUUCUCUCUUGCUUCUAUGCUUGAUUUGGUUCUGUUUUUGUGCUGAUCUGAUUUACUUUCAUGGGCGUUUUGAGUUACUUGCAUGUACGCAAUCUUUCCCACUCUUUAGAUAACUCAUGAUCCAACCCUUGUACUCACGGUUCAGUAUAAAAUAGUACAGGAAAUAUUCUAUAUUUUACGGUCACAGUGUACAUGGUGAAAAGUAUUCUAUAUGUUUUUUUCUAUUGAUACAACAAUGAUGUAUAUGAUUAUUAUAUGGUGUCCAAAUGAGGCAUGUGAUUGUAAUAUGAUGUGUUUGUGAAAUGCGAGCAGUAGCCAGUACAUAUUUUCCUCUUGUGAUUUUGAUAGCUCGGUGAUGGCGGGCGAAGCCACCAAGCAUCGACACACAUCCUAACCAAUUCGGUUUGGUGUCAUCUUGGAUCUGACUAAUUUUCUUCUUUUUUCGCAUGAAGUUCUAAUGGAUUAAUAUUCUUGUAGGUUGAUUUGAAUCCCCAGGUAUGUGGUUAUGCAUGAGCUGUGGAAGCAAAGGUGUGUGUCGGCUGGAGCUGAUUUAUGGGGCUGUAAUUUGGAUGGUACAAAACUGUAUUAAUACAGGCUCCCACUCAAAAUUUCACUGCACCAAAGGUUCUCGUAAGUGCUUGACUUUGUUUCUUCAUACUAUGCGGUAUAAUACCUAUGGGACAUGAAAUUAGUAAUUACCCUUAAAUAUUGUCUGUACUGGAUAGCCAAAAUUAGGUUUAUUUGUUUCUCUCUCCUGAGCACAUUUUUAUAACAUUGCUACUCAAAUAUAACUUGUGUUUCCCUGUCCUGCAUUUUUGCAUCGUCCUCCAUACAAAAACAUGAUGGGAUUUGGUCCAGGUGAGAACAUACAGGACCGUAACGAUCAGCCUGUUUUAAUUUACUGAAACUGGGUAGACGCUAGACAGGGACGUGAUUAUCCUUGGUAUAGCUCCAAAGAAUUUUAAUGUGCCAAUUAAAUGUGAUGCUUGGUGGUAGAUUGGAAGCUUGCUACAUGUUUUUCUCAAUGGGCAUACCUGUUGUUAUCUUGCCAAAGCCCAAGUUUAUACAAUUAUGCUUCUGUAACUACAAUGUCAGUACAUUAUGCUAGGUAUGUGCCUCUUUAGUUGUCUCUUUCUGGUUUGGUCUGUGUUUUCUGUUUAGUUAUGGGGUGCCUAAUUCUUUAGUAAUACUGCACUGUUCUGCAAAAUUAUGGUCUAACUUUACUGGGCAGAAUUAUGGCCUAACUUUACUGUACUCUUGCAAUUUUUCUCCUGCAUGAUCUACCAAAUGGUGUUAAAAUUUACUGGGCAGAAUUAUAGACUGAUUUAUGAAGGACACAAAACACCAUACAUGAUUUAGCUGCAGCUCAUGAAGUGCUGAUCAUGUUGCUUCACGAAAGGUUCACAUUAUAAUUUGCAAUCUGAAUCGGUUUUCACAAACAUAAAAUGUUAAUACCCUUUUCUAUGAGCUUUUUACCAUGUGAAGCUUGUCUGUUUAAUAUGUCCCAUAAUCCUGAGAAGAAUCAUGACCAUUGAUGAAAUCCAGCUCUCUCUUUUUUUGGAAAAAAUGCUAGGAAAAAAAGGUUCAUAGUGAUUUUUCCUUUCCUGCGAGAGCUGACAUAGUUUAAAAAGAGUGCACUUCCGGCCAUGCUGAAUUGUAGGAUAAAAUGACCAUGGAGUUAGUCAUGGUCAAGUUGACUGAAGCAUGUGUAUCCAAACUGAUACAUGUACUGCAUUAUGUCUUUUGUACGGAGAUAUGGACAUGCUUUGUGCUUGUAUUUGUAGUUUAGUGAGUUUACUCCUUCUCGGACAAACUUAAAAUUCCAAAUGUUUACUGGGAAUGUGUUUUGAUCCUAGAGUGGAGAUGCAGAAAGCAAGUGUGAAAAAGGCACCAAAGUUUGUCAGCACUAGCUCUAUGCAUGCCUUUGUGAAACUGAAUGGCAUUUUGCCACACCUUGUCACACCUUUCUGAGUAGCUGAGAACUAAUAAAAAAAGUUUAAUUAUUUUCAUCGUGCUAUUCGUUGAUUUUGGUGUGCCCUUGAUACUCCUAUGCAUGGCGCAUUUGAUCUAUUAAGUGAACUUUUUCUUCCAAUCCAGCACCAUUAUGUUGUAAUGAUCAAGCUUUCCGUCGACUACAAAAGUUCCAACAAAAUAUUAUGUUGUUUAUUUCUCUCCUAAAUCACUAUUUGUUAUAAAAAUAGUGAAAGAAAUAAACAACAUAAUCUUCAGUAUGUUUAAAGUAGGAUAUCUGGUAUUGUGGUUUUAAAAUUUGUUGGAUAUAAACUGGCAACAAUAUCAUGUGAACUUGGAUUUAUAUAUGUCUUAGUAUUAAUUUGAUGUCAACUAACAGUAGCACAUCUCUAACAAUGAUACUCGAAGAAUUGUUGUGUGUUUGUAGGAAACACUAUAUAAUGAGCAUAUAACUUUCUAGAUGAUUCGCUGACGCAUUGUUGAUUUUAAGGCGCGGAAAUUACUGGCAUUUGUUAUGAGCGAUCUUAAAUAUGUUUGCUUCUCUCUCGGGUAGAAAACUUUGUUCCUUGCAACGUGUUGAUGUCUACCUCUAUGCCAUUCCAAAGUGAGGAUUUGUAUAUGUCUAUAACGACAUCCAUACAUCUUUAGCUAUAGUAUCGCUGAGGUGUCUAUCAGCAGAUGAUUAUGAGAAUCACUAGAAGGUUAACCGGGUUUGAAGAAGAUAGUGACGCAUAAUGGGGGAGUACAAAAAAGGAGGAAGAAUACAUUUUUGUCUCUUGCAAAGUGGUCACAGAAAAGGAGUUCCACUACAGUAAGUGAUUUCAGGGGUACGAUAUGGUCGUAGUUGGCAGAGUAGGAAGCAUGAGCGAAUAACAUCAUUUUUCAAGUCGCAGUUCGCUGAAACAGCCAUGUAAUCAAUAGCGCUCUAUCCUUUUGCUAUUCUGUAGCCACCAGAGAUGAAGAAGAUGUUUGCUUGGUCUGUUUCGGCUGGGUGCCGGAGGCUAUUGGGACUGAGAUGAAACUAGCGAUCCCUGUUGCAGCUUGUAAUUUUUAGUAUCGUUGUUAAAUUUUGCCUUAUGCCUUGAUUGGUUUGGAGCUGGAGGUGAAUUUGAUCAUUGCCCCAAUAUCACUAAAUAUUUGUUGGCAGAGUUGACAUUCAUGUUAACGUGUUUCAUUUAAUGUCUCUUGUUUGUUGUUAGGUCAUAAUGGAGAAUCAUUUGUUGUAGCGAAGAGAGUGAAAAUAGAGUCGAGGAGCAGACGUGAAGGGUGAAAUUGAGGAAAUGAAUUAUUCUGUAGUGGUCGCUUUGGCUACUGUCAGAUUUGUUCGUCAAGAAGAUAUCCAAAAAACCCAGCCCAAUUUUACACCAUUUGAAAUUAAGCCUUCUCUGCCUGGGUUUCAUAGUUGUGCACUAUAAUUGCAUGGUGUUUCGGUCAGAAUUUGAUGCGAGCGAUAUAUGCGUCCAAGAUGUGGCAAGAAGCAUAUAGUAGUGCAAGAAUAUGUGUAGCCAUUAGGAACAACAGCUAUGAGUCCAUGACUAGCACCAACAAUGCUAGAGUAAGGGUGGACGAAGAGAAUGGUGGUGGGCCAAGAGGGAAGGGAGAAAUAUAUCACUUUCAUUGCAUGCAAGAAAAUGGUGCCUAAUGAAACACAAAGGCUUACUUGGAGCAAAGCAGCGAAUGAACAUGAAUGAAAAUCAUGUACUGCCAUCUUCUGCACACAUUUUUGAAUUAAAACAAAUAUAUAUAAUCAUAAUGUCCACAUUUUAUUUCGUAUCCGUGGCAACGCACGGGCAUUCGACUAGUAUAUUCUAGAACAACAAUACUGCAGACACAGUCUUGCGCCUAUUGUACCAGGUGAUAAUAUAAGUGGUGAAGUAGAGAGUAGCAAGAGUUAAUGAGCAUGUCAGUUUUUCUCACUUGUUUCUACUUGUUAACUUUCUUAACUAGACGAAUAAAAUUAAGCUGAUAUUAUGCUAUAUAAAUUGGGUGCCCCUAUUUACUGAAAAUGAUUGUCGAAUAUGGCAACAUACAAUUAUAGGUCCUCCAUUCUUUAUGGUAUGAUGAACAUAUAACAAAAUUAUAUCAUGACGAACACAAUAGCUAGUCAAGGACAUUUGACUUGAAUGGCUACUUGAUCAACGUGAUCAACUAAAUCCUUAAUAGAUAUUAGUCUGAUCAACACUUAACGAAGUACUAAAUUUUGAAAGUUCAUCACAUACGUGUCUACAACCACUAAUAAAUUCAGAUCAAUACACAAAAAAAGAGAAAUUGAACAUGAAUAGUGUUAAAAUUUCACUAUUCACAUCUAGAUUUCUCUUUGUGUAUUUUACAUUUUGAUCUAAAUUUUGUUGGGGAUGUGAACAUAUAUGUGAUGAACAUUAAAAAGAAAAUAAAAAUAUUUUGACACAUCUAAAGUUGAAUUUGUCAACCUUGUAUCAUGUUAGCAGAUGAACGAUGGUAUCAUGUGAUAUUCUCCGUAGUAGCAGCAUACACACAUUGCAAGUAUACUAAAAUGCCAUUCUUCAUUGAACAUUAAUUGUCGAUGUCCGCAAAGUAUUCUUCAAGUCCAUAUACAAUAUAUGAGAUAAUACUUUAUAGCCUGUACUCUAAAUAUUGUCUAUGUUUUUGUCUUUCAUAUAUAUUUAUUAAACCAGUUAUGUUAUAGUGAGUUUGAUGGGAUGCUACUGAAAAAUAUAAAUGAACAAAUGUAUGAAAAUGAGGUAUUUGAUCUUCCAUACAACCAGGAUGUUGGUGACUAGUUACAGUUCAAGUUAUUUUAUGCUACAUUUAUAUAGUGUGAUCCAGGCCUAAUAUUCAGACAUUUUACAUCACUUGCAAUUAUAUUCUAGAAUAAUAAUAAUGCAGACACAAUGUUAUUCCUAUAGAACCAGGUGAUAAUAUAGGUGGUGAAGUAGAGAGGAGCAAGACUUAAUAAGCAUGUCAGUUUUUUCACUUGUUUCUACUUGUUAACUUUCUUAACUAGAGGAAUAAAAUUAAGCUAAUAUUAUGCUAUAUAAAUUGGGUUUCCCUAUUUACUGUAAAUGAUUGUCGAAUAUGGCAACAUACAAUUAUAGGCCGUCCAUUCUUUACGGUAUGAUGAAAAUAUAACAAAAUUAUAUCUUGAUGAACCCAAUAGCUAGUCAAGGAAAUUUGACUUGAAUGGCUACUUGAUCAAUGUGAACAACUAAAUCCUUAAUAGAUACUAGUCUGAUCAAUAGCUAAUGAAGUACUAAAUUUUGAAUGUUCAUCACAUACAUGUCUACAACCCCUUGUAAAUUCAUAUCAAUAUAAGAAAUACACUGUGACGCCCCCGAUUCAAUCAUACACUAAUCAUACACCUAAUCAUGUACAAUCAAGAUCAGGGACUCACGGGAAGAUAUCAUAGCACAACUCUACAAAUAAAAUAAGUCAUACAAGCAUCAUAUUACAAGCCAGGGGUGUCGAGGGCUCGAAUACAAGAGCUCGAUCAUAAACGAGUCAGCGGAAGCAACAAUAUCUGAGUACAGACAUAAGUUAAACAAGUUUGCCUUAAGAAGGCUAGCACAAACUGGGAUACAGAUCGAAAGAGGCGCAGGCCUCCUACGAGGGAUCCUCCUAAUCUAGUCCUGGUCGUCGUCAGCGGGCUGCACGUAGUAGUAGGCACCUCCCGAGUAGUAGUAGUCGUCAUCGACAGUGGCGUCUGGCUCCUGGGCUCCAUCGUCUGGUCGCAGCAAAAGGGUAUAGAAAAAGGGGAAAAGGGGGAUUUAAAUUAUUUUUAGGAUUUAUUUAAUUAUUUAAAUCAACAUUAUCGAGAAUAGUGCUUGCUGAUGUCAUCAUGAUGUCAGCAUGACAUCAGCAGUUGACCUGGUCAACCUGACAGGUGGGUCCCACCUAUCAGUGACCCAUUUUGAUUAGACACACUAGUCAUCAACCCAUGCCGCUGCACGGGCUAGAAAUUGUUGUCUUAAAAUUGAUGUGUAAUUCCUAUUUUUCCGGAUAUUUUUGUUCAAUAAGUAAGUCGGCAUCAUGUGUCCUAUAAUAGAAGAAGAGAAGUGUAGAGACAUUCUAAUAUUUUCUAUCGGUUGAACCUUUCUUGCGGAAAUGACAUAAUUAAUGUCCACCCUUGGAUCAGCAUUAUGCAUGCACACAUAAGAUUUAUACUUUUAAGCUAAGCCAAUUUAUUUAUUCUCAUAAUUACAUUAAGAACAUAGAAAUUUUGCUGACAGAUUUGGAUAAAAAGUAUAUGCUUAUAGUCAUGCAAAAAUGACCUUUUCACUUAAGACAUCCAACGAAUACAUUCCUCUCUUAGCAUGUUCAUGCCCUUUACUCUUUGUAGUGUGAGGAAAAAUUGAGAAUUUAUGAGCUAGUGACUACAUUAAUAUGGUGGUUAUGAAUCGUUUGUUCACUGUAACCUAAAGCGUAUAAGUAUGUAGGUUUAACAUCAGCCGACACUUGCCGUCUUACAUCCAAAUUAUUUUAUAUGAUUUCUUAAUCUGUUGUGCUACCGCGGUGUCUUUCUGUAAUUGUUACACAUACCAGGUCAAAGCUUAUAAAAAUUAUUGGUCAAUUAAAAUUUGAAAGCUGUUAGGGAAAAAAAUCAUGUUUGAUUUAUUUUAUCUUGGGGAGGUUUCUUUUCUUACUCCGGAUCAUUUAUUUGUACAUGUCUUUUUAAUUUAAUCUUUCUCAUGGGAACAUGCAUGUGGCUAAAAACAAUCAAGCAUAGAUUUUUUUUCUAAUCGCGGUGAUUUGGGAGAAUUUAUUUAUACUUUUUUAAUUUCCUUUUUCUGAAGGAAACUCCAACGUGGUUUUUAUUUUCAUGGUAUUUGGGACGUGGACUCUUUUUCUAGCGUCUGGCCUAAGGACUUUUCAUUUGUGUCUAUCUUUUUUUAUCACAUAUCUUUUUUUAUGAAUAUAGAAGGAAAAUGCAUUUUCUUUUCGACGGGACUUGAACUGGGCAUCUAGGGCUCAUUUUGGUGCGUGUGUGUGUAUCUAGGGUAUCUAGGGCUCAUUUAUGAAUUGCGAGGCCGCCUAAUUAAUGUUCACCAUUAAAAUUUAGAAUAGGUUUGUGAUUUUUUAACACUGUACGAACGCAUACGCUCAUACUUACGCUCAUACACUCAUCCGUCUGAACACACACAUACACACCCUAUCCCUUAUGAGCACCUUCUUGACUGAGCCG